rnacentral:tRNA from 1 species
GGGAUUAUAGUUUAAGAAGAAUGAGAAUUUUGUAAGUUUUUAGUAAGUGAUAUUUGGUCCUU